GCCGAGCGUGGUGGCUUGCCUGUGGUUCCAGCUACUCAGGAGGCUGAGGUGGGAGGGUCGCUUGAGCCCAGGAGUUCUGGGCUGUAAUGCGCUAUGCUGAUCGGGUGUCCGCACUAAGUUCGGCAUCAAUAUGGUGACCUCCCGGGAGCGGGGGACCACCAGGUUGCCUAAGGAGGGGUGAACCGGCCCAGGUCAGAAACAGAGCAGGUCAAAACUCCAGUGCUGAUCAGUAGUGGGAUCGCUCCUGUGAAUAGCCACUGUACUCCAGCCUGGGCAACAUAGUGAGACCCCCAUCUCU
rnacentral:SRP_RNA from 1 species